rnacentral:rRNA from 1 species
CAGCAGCCGCGGGAAUACGUAGGUGGCAAGCGUUAUCCGGAAUUAUUGGGCGUAAAGCGCGCGUAGGCGGUUUUUUAAGUCUGAUGUGAAAGCCCACGGCUCAACCGUGGAGGGUCAUUGGAAACUGGAAAACUUGAGUGCAGAAGAGGAAAGUGGAAUUCCAUGUGUAGCGGUGAAAUGCGCAGAGAUAUGGAGGAACACCAGUGGCGAAGGCGACUUUCUGGUCUGUAACUGACGCUGAUGUGCGAAAGCGUGGGGAUCAAACAGGAUUAGAUACCCCAGUAGUCCCUGUCUCUUAUAC